UCCGCGCAGCCAGUUCAUUCCAUUUCUACUGUUCAUCUGUGAUGGUGUUGUAACCAAAUAAAUCCGAAUAUUGAUUUUAGUAAAUUGUCGUAGCAGAUCAUCGCUGAGUCGUCCCAGUUCGUUAUUUGAAUCCUUAAAAAAGGUUGUGUCCUGGACCAAGCUGGACGGGGUCGCAUUGGACGAGAGGCGAAAAAUCUCCCAACUGGGUCGGCAUAUGGGUUGGAAAUAACCCGACCCGGAUAACGGCCCGGGUUAAAGUCGGCAUUUUACCGCGGAGAACAUUUCUGUCACAUUCCUUCAACACCACACCUGCGUUCAACGUUUGCGAAAUUGCCAUAAAUCAAUUGAUUACCGCACCGCAUACAC